rnacentral:rRNA from 1 species
AGAUUGAACGCUGGCGGCAGGCCUAACACAUGCAAGUCGAGCGGUAGAGAGGUGCUUGCACCUCUUGAGAGCGGCGGACGGGUGAGUAAUGCCUAGGAAUCUGCCGUAGUGGUGGGGGAUAACGGUUCGGAAACGGACGCCAAUACCGCAUACGUCCUACGGGAGAAAGCGGGGGACCUUCGGGCCUCGCGCCAUUAGAUGAGCCGUAGGUCGGAUUAGCUUAGUUGGUGAGGUAAUGGCUCACCGAAGGCGACGAUCCGUAAUGGUCUGAGAGGAUGAUCAGUCACACUGGAACUGGGACACGGUCCAGACCUCCUACGGGAGGCAGCGAGGUGGGAAUGUUGGACUAGUGGGACAAAGCCUGACUCCGAGCCAGUCGCCGCGGUGUGUAGAAGGAAGGUCGUUCGGAUU